UUCACAAGCUUUGACAUCAGCCUCCCACCACAUAUAUAUAUGUAUGUCUGCUCCCCUGUAUUCUCCAUUUCAAUCUUCUCUAAUAUCUCCAAGUCACACUUCACCAAGAUGGUGGUAAGGAUGAGACUGGGUAAAAUUGUGGGAGACUUGAAGGUGAAGAUAAAGACAAGUCUAAGGAUGAGGAAGAGAUCAUCAUUAUCAUCAUCAUCUUCCUCUUCCUCAACUUCAUCAUCAUCAUCCUAUGAGAAGAUAGAGAAGAGUGACAGUAUGAGAUUCGAGUUACGAAGCAGAAAGGCACACAAAAUUAUCCAACAAACUCUUCAAAUUGCCGACUCUCCCACCUCAAGAACUUAUGCUUUAUGAUUUCAUCUUCUUACCAUCCGAAACAUAUUCAUACAUACAUACGAAUUUGCAUAUGUAUCUGUUUAUACAUAUCUAAAAUACUGUACGUGUAUGUAUGGGUGAAAGGUUAUAUAUGGAUGAUGUAAUGUGAUGGAUCUCAUCUUGGCUAAUGGAUGAUUAUUAGGUGAGUUCAACAUUAAUGAUCAUUAAUAAGUGUCCUCA